rnacentral:ncRNA from 1 species
UUUCCCUCAGGAUAGCUGGCACCAAUGGAAGUACCAGUAGCAUCCGGUAGAGCGAAUGAUUAGAGGUCUUGGGGCCGAAAUGGCCUCACCUAUUCUCAAACUCCUAAUGGGUGCGAAGUUCAACUUGUUAAACUUUUAAAGCUGAACAUACUUUGUAUGAUGGUGCCCAGUGGGCCAUUUUUGGUAAGCAGAACUGGCGCUGUGGAUGAACCA